rnacentral:rRNA from 1 species
CCUACGGGAGGCAGCAGUGAGGAAUAUUGGUCAAUGGACGAGAGUCUGAACCAGCCAAGUAGCGUGAAGGAUGACUGCCCUCUGGGUUGUAAACUUCUUUUAUAUGGGAAUAAAUUUUUCCACGUGUGGGCUUUUGUAUGUACCAUAUGAAUAAGGAUCGGCGAACUCCGUGCCAGCAGCCGCGGUAAUACGGAGGAUCCGAGCUUUAUCCGGAUUUAUUGGGUUUAACGGGAGCGUAGGUGGAUGGUUAAGUCAGUUGUGAAAGUUUGCGGCUCAACCGGAAAAUUGCAGUUGAAACUGGCAGUCUGGAGUACAGUAGAGGUGGGUGGAAUUCGUGGUGUAGCGGUGAAAUGCUUAGAUAUCACGAAGAACACCGAUUGCGAAGGCAGCUCACUGGACUGCAACUGACACUGAGGUUCGAAAGUGUGGGUAUCAAACAGGAUUAGAUACCCGUGUAGUC